GAUGAACGCUAGCGGCAGGCUUAAUACAUGCAAGUCGAGGGGCAGCAUGAUUGUAGCAAUACAAUUGAUGGCGACCGGCAAACGGGUGCGGAACACGUACACAACCUCCCAAUAAGUGGGGAAUAGCCCAGAGAAAUUUGGAUUAAUACCCCGUAACAUAACGAUGUGGCAUCACAAUGUUAUUAUAGAUUUUUCGCUUAAUGAUGGGUGUGCGGCUGAUUAGAUAGUUGGCGGGGUAACGGCCCACCAAGUCUACGAUCAGUAGCUGAUGUGAGAGCAUGAUCAGCCACACGGGAACUGAGACACGGGCCCGACUCCUACGGGAGGCAGCAGUAAGGAAUAUUGGACAAUGGACGCAAGUCUGAUCCAGCCAUGCCGCGUGAAGGAUUAAGGUCCUCUGGAUUGUAAACUUCUUUUAUAAGGGACGAAAAAAGGCUUUUCUAAGUCGUCUGACGGUACCUUAUGAAUAAGCACCGGCUAACUCCGUGCCAGCCGCCGCCGUAAAAC
rnacentral:rRNA from 1 species